rnacentral:rRNA from 1 species
ACUCCUACGGGAGGCAGCAGUGGGGAAUAUUGCACAAUGGGGGAAACCCUGAUGCAGCCAUGCCGCGUGUGUGAAGAAGGCCUUCGGGUUGUAAAGCACUUUCAGCGAGGAGGAAAGGUUGGUCGCUAAUAACGGCCAACUGUGACGUAC